UAAUACGUAGGGUGCUAACGUUGUUCGGAAUCACUGGGCAUAAAGAGCGCGUAGGCGGUCUGAUAAGUCAGGUGUGAAAUCCCCCGGCUCAACCGGGGAACUGCACCUGAUACUGUUGGGCUUGAGUGCAGGAGGGGAGAGCGGAAUUCCUGGUGGAGCGGUGAAAUGCGUAGAUAUCAGGAGGAACGCCGGCGGCGAAAGCGGCUCUCUGGCCUGUCUACUGACGCUGAGGCGCGAAAGCUAGGGGAGCAAACGGGAUUAGAUACCCCGGUAGUCCUAGCCCUAAACGAUGGGUACUAAGUAGAGGAAACUCCGAUGUUUUCUCUGCCGGAGCUAAUGUAUUAAGUACCCCGCCUGGGGAGUAUGGUCGCAAGGCUA
rnacentral:rRNA from 1 species